CCUACGGGGGGCAGCAGUGGGGGAUAUUGCACAAUGGGGGAAACCCUGAUGCAGCGACGCCGCGUGUGGGAAGACGGUCCUCUGGAUUGUAAACCACUGUCCCCAGGGACGAAGAUGACGGUACCUGGGGAGGAAGCUCCGGCAAACUACGUGCCAGCAGCCGCGGUAAUACGUAGGGCGCGAGCGUUGUCCGGAAUUACUGGGGGAAAGGGGUGCGUAGGCGGGACUGCAAGUUGGGUGUCAAAUCUACCGGCUCAACCGGUAGCCGCACUCAAAACUGCAGUUCUUGAGUGAAGUAGAGGCAGGCGGAAUUCCUAGUGUAGCGGUGAAAUGCGUAGAUAUUAGGAGGAACACCAGUGGCGAAGGCGGCCUGCUGGGCUUUUACUGACGCUGAGGCUCGAAAGUGUGGGGAGCAAACAGGAUUAGAUACCCCAGUAGUC
rnacentral:rRNA from 1 species